rnacentral:rRNA from 1 species
CUACGGGCGGCAGCAGUGGGGAAUAUUGCACAAUGGGCGCAAGCCUGAUGCAGCCAUGCCGCGUGUAUGAAGAAGGCCUUCGGGUUGUAAAGUACUUUCAGCGGGGAGGAAGGGAGUAAAGUUAAUACCUUUGCUCAUUGACGUUACCCGCAGAAGAAGCACCGGCUAAGUCCGUGCCAGCAGCCGCGGUAAUACGGAGGGUGCAAGCGUUUAUCGGAAUUACUGGGCGUAAAGCGCACGCAGGCGGGUUGUUAAGUCAGAUGUGAAAUCCCCGGGCUCAACCUGGGAACUGCAUCUGAUACUGGCAAGCUUGAGGCUCGUAGGGGGGGGUAGAAUUCCAGGUGUAGCGGUGAAAUGCGUAGAGAUCUGGGGGAAUACCGGUGGCGAAGGCGGCCCCCUGGACGAAGACUGGCGCUCAGGUGCGAAAGCGUGGGGAGCAAACAGGAUUAGAUACCCGUGUAGUC